GUCUAUGGCCAUACCACCCUGAGUGCCUGAUCUCGUCUCAUCUCAGAAGCUAAGCAGGGUUGGGCCUAGUUAGUCCUUGGAUGGGAGACC
rnacentral:rRNA from 1 species